rnacentral:misc_RNA from 1 species
AAAUGUGGCAAUCCGGCUGUCCAACUACAAUUGGGUCUACAACCAUCGCUCAGGUUGGAAUCACUGGGCCUGAAGGGUUAACUAGGCUGUGAGAGAGAAAUUUCAGCUGUCCAGUGACUCUCCAGUGUGGCCAGUCAUCGCAGCCACAUCCAC